rnacentral:tRNA from 1 species
GGCACCAUGGCCGAGAGGUUAGGCUAAGGUCUGCAAAACCUUAUACAGUAGUUCGAAUCUACUUGGUGCCU